UUUUCAUCCACCCCAUUCCACCUCCAACCAAACAUACCUAACUGUUUGAGCUCUCUCAUUUCUUUGAACACAAACACACAUACUCACAGACAUAGUGAGCCUACUACAUUUUGGAGAUAGCUGAUGGCUUCUUCUUCCUCUUAACCCUUGAAAAUGAUGGAAAUGAGCUCAAAUGUCUUUCCUCAACCUUAGCCUCAGCCUCAGCCUGCCUCUACUUCUGUAGCGUUGUCCUAUUCUUCACAACACUUGGACGUACAAGAGCAGACUACAUGAAUACACACUACAAUGGGCCAUUCAGCGGCCAAUAUAUGGAACUAGUAAUGAGGGAACACUGCAUGGACCAAAGUUUAGGUCAAUGGUCGAAAUGGAUGGAGGGAGCUAUACCUCUCCAAACACUUUUUCACAUCGAAAAAAAGCCAAACAAGACAUUUCCAAACUUGCAAUUCAAAUAAGAUAAAGGAUUGAAGGGUAUUCUCUCAUUCAUGAACAAGAUGUUGCCAAACUUGCAAUGGAACACGUAUCAAAGAAAAUAAAGGAUGAAUGGUGUCCUCUCAUUCAUGAGGUUUGUUACAUCAUCUUGUAAAUUUAGACUUUGUUAGAUGAAACUUGUAAUUUAUUCUUUUUAUUUUUGUUUUUUUUUUUCCGAAGGAUGGGAGAUUAACUUUUUUGAAGUUGAAAGAAACCUAAAUUGUGAGGCUAAAAGAUGCUUGUAUGUGUGAAAAAUUAUCUUCAUAUCUGUGAAGAUGAUCUUUUCAUUUUUAUUACAAUAAAGUUUUCGUGAACUUUUAGAACA